rnacentral:lncRNA from 1 species
AUCCUUACUGACCCUACAAACACCAACAAAAUAUGACUAGAAGCUAUCUCUUAGCCCCCGUUUGGUUCGGGGUUAAGAAAAAGUAGCUAUUCCAGGGAUAGGGUUAAGUUCAGGGUUAAAAUUGUGUUAAAAUUUUUUUGUGUUUGGUUGGAGGUUGGAGUUAGUCUAGGAUAGUGAAAAAAAGUGUUUGGUUGGAGUAGGUGGGAUAAAAAGAUAAUGAUUGAUAAAGAAGAAAAAGGUGAGAGCUCGGGAUGCGUGCGGGGUUAAAGUUGGGAAGGUGAGUGGGGUUAAUGAUUGAUAAAGAAGAAAAAUGUGAGAGCUCGGGAUGCGUGCGGGGUUAAAGUUGGGAGGGGGAGUGGGGUUAGUAAACCCCACUAACCCGGUUUGGGGUGAGGUUUACUAACCCCACCCCAAAAGAGUGGUGUUUGGAUAUAAAUUAGGGGUUAAGGGGUUAUUUCACCCCUUAACCCCCAACCAAACGGUGGCUUAGGAGCCGUUUGGUUGGAUGUAGUUAUAAAAACAGUGUAGUUGGAAGUACAUGCAGUUGUAAAUGUUGCAGUCAUAACUAUACCUAGGGGCCGUUUGGUUAGAUGUAAUUAUAAAUGCAGUGUAGUUAGAGAUACAUGCAGUUGGAAAUACAGCAGUUACAACUACAUGAAUCAUGUUUGGUUGGAUGUAGUAGAAAGCGCUGCAAGUAUAAAUAAUUUGUUUGGUUGCAUGCAGUUGAGAAAUAAUUUUUAAAAUUUUAUUAUUUUAUAUAUAUGAUGGUGAGAUUACCUCCAAUGUAAUAAAGGAAAAUAAUUUUUAUUUGAAAAAUAUUGAGGAGGUAAGCAUACUUUUUACUCAAAGUUACUUUCUCCAACUGCUGUAGUUGGAACUGCGGCCAAUUUGCGCGUAGUUCGAACUGCUGCAGUUGGGCCUCCUCCUGCAGUUCCUAUUACAGCAGUUGGAGUUAAAUACAUCAAACCAAACACGAAAUUUGUAUUUACAUACAUUUACAACUGCAGUGCAGUCGCAACUACAUGCAACCAAACAGCCCCCUAGUCUGUUUGGUUUUAUGCAGUUGCAACUGCUGCAGUUACAUUUCUUCUGUUUGGUAGUCUGCAGUUGAGAUUUGUAUUUGUAAAUUCUGUCAAUAUUUAGAUAACAAUAUGAGAUUACCUCUUCUGAGCAUAACGUAAUCAUAUUUUAAUUAUUAAUUAAGACUUUAUAUCUAUAUAUAAUUUAUAUAUUAUAAAAUUAAGUAUGAAUUUAAUAAAUUUUAAAUAUAAAUAUAUUAUAAAUUUGGUCAAAAUAAAAAUUAAGAUAUUAUUAAACUAGCAGACUGAAAAAUAAAAAGUGUAUGAAAAAAAUUUAUUGACCCUAACAGACAUUACUAAAUCCUAUUAGAUUUCAUGAAUGUGUAUUUUUGAAAAAAAAAAUAAAAAAGGAAGCAUAUGAAAAAAAAAAAAAUUACACUUUGUUUAUAUUUUUAAUGGG